GGGAGGAGGAAUAGAAUGGUUUGCAACCGUUGAAAACAAAAAUGUUUUUCCCCUCUGAUUCUUUAUCCUUCCUCUCACAGAGGACCAGGAGAAGAAACCAGUGGCAAGGUACACCUGCCAGUGGUGCCCGGAAGGGUUGCUCAGCCUCCCUCGUGUCAGCCAGGACGUGAAAGGGAGACCACCUGGCCUGCGUGCUCAGAAGCCUCAGAGUAUUUAGAAAUGGGCAGACGCGGGGCAGCCUCGGGACCAAAUGCUGCUGGAGGAAAACCAGACAAUCCAGUGUGGGUACCGCCAAGCUCCAGCACCGCCUCCUCUGAAAAGCCCCUUGUCCCCAGUGUGUUUUUCCGGAAGACUCCGUGGACAUGCGUCUCUAGGGAUGCUGCAGUUGGCUAUCACUACAGGCGUCCUGCCUUUCUCCUACCAGGAAAGUCGUGAGUAAACAGAAGUUUUGUAAAUCGAGUCAAUGUUCCUAGCAACCUCCAUGACCAUUUCAGAGAUGCUUCAUCUUCAUUUCUGGCCGGUUUUUCGCUGGCAGCACUUCUUACCUAAUCUAUCCCACAGCGUUUCUGUAAAGGAAGGUAAUGAGCGGUAAACAAACU